AUUCCAGCUCCAAUGGCGCAUAUUAAAGUUGUUGCAGUUAAAAAGCUCGUAGUUGGAUUUCUGGCAGGAGCGACCGGUCGGCCCAUUGUGGUGUGUACUAGUGUUGCAUCUAGCCAUAUUUGUGGAGAGCGUGUGUGGCAUUAAUUUGUCGUGCUCGGGACCCGCAUCGUUUACUGUGAGAAAAUUAGAGUGUUCAAAGCAGGCUUAUGCCUUGGAUGUGUUAGCAUGGAAUAAUAAGAUAAGACUUUGGCGGUCUAUUUUGUUGGUUUGCACGCCAUUGUAAUGAUUGAUAGGGACAGAUGGGGGUAUUCAUAUUUAAUUGUCAGAGGUGAAAUUCUUGGAUUUAUGAAAGAUAAACUACUGCGAAAGCAUUUACCAAGGAUGUUUUCAUCA
rnacentral:rRNA from 1 species